rnacentral:rRNA from 1 species
AUUGAACGCUGGCGGCAUGCUUUACACAUGCAAGUCGGACGGCAGCACAGAGAAGCUUGCUUCUUGGGUGGCGAGUGGCGAACGGGUGAGUAACAUAUCGGAACGUACCGAGCAGUGGGGGAUAACUAAUCGAAAGAUUAGCUAAUACCGCAUAUCUUCUGAGGAAGAAAGCAGGGGACCAUUUGGCCUUGCGCUGUUUGAGCGGCCGAUACCUGAUUAGCUAGUUGGUGGGGUAAAGGCCUACCAAGGCGACGAUCAGUAGCGGGUCUGAGAGGAUGAUCCGCCACACUGGGACUGAGACACGGCCCAGACUCCUACGGGAGGCAGCAGUGGGGAAUUUUGGACAAUGGGCGCAAGCCUGAUCCAGCCAUGCCGCGUGUCUGAAGAAGGCCUUCGGGUUGUAAAGGACUUUUGUCAGGGAAGAAAAGGGCGGGGUUAAUACCCCUGUCUGAUGACGUACCUGAAGAUAAGCCCCG